rnacentral:rRNA from 1 species
GAAGGUGGCCUGUGAGGGUUGCUGGAGGUAUCAGAAGUGCGAAUGCUGACAUAAGUAACGAUAAAGCGGGUGAAAAGCCCGCUCGCCGGAAGACCAAGGGUUCCUGUCCAACGUUAAUCGGGGCAGGGUGAGUCGACCCCUAAGGCGAGGCCGAAAGGCGUAGUCGAUGGGAAACGGGUUAAUAUUCCCGUACUUGGUGUUACUGCGAAGGGGGGACGGAGAAGGCUAUGUUGGCCGGGCGACGGUUGUCCCGGUUUAAGCGUGUAGGUGUGUGUUCCAGGUAAAUCCGGUUCACUUUAACACUGAGGCGUGACGACGAGGCACUACGGUGCUGAAGCAACAAAUGCCCUGCUUCCAGGAAAAGCCUCUAAGCAUCAGGUAACAUCAAAUCGUACCCCAAACCGACACAGGUGGUCAGGUAGAGAAUACCAAGGCGCUUGAGAGAACUCGGGUGAAGGAACUAGGCAAAAUGGUGCCGUAACUUCGGGAGAAGGCACGCUGACACGUAGGUGAAGUGAUUUACUCAUGGAGCUGAAGUCAGUCGAAGAUACCAGCUGGCUGCAACUGUUUAUUAAAAACACAGCACUGUGCAAACACGAAAGUGGACGUAUACGGUGUGACGCCUGCCCGGUGCCGGAAGGUUAAUUGAUGGGGUCAGCGCAAGCGAAGCUCCUGAUCGAAGCCCCGGUAAACGGCGGCCGUAACUAUAACGGUCCUAAGGUAGCGAAAUUCCUUGUCGGGUAAGUUCCGACCUGCACGAAUGGCGUAAUGAUGGCCAGGCUGUCUCCACCCGAGACUCAGUGAAAUUGAACUCGCUGUGAAGAUGCAGUGUACCCGCGGCAAGACGGAAAGACCCCGUGAACCUUUACUAUAGCUUGACACUGAACAUUGAGCCUUGAUGUGUAGGAUAGGUGGGAGGCUUUGAAGUGUGGACGCCAGUCUGCAUGGAGCCGACCUUGAAAUACCACCCUUUAAUGUUUGAUGUUCUAACGUGGACCCGUUACCCGGGUUGCGGACAGUGUCUGGUGGGUAGUUUGACUGGGGCGGUCUCCUCCUAAAGAGUAACGGAGGAGCACGAAGGUUGGCUAAUCCUGGUCGGACAUCAGGAGGUUAGUGCAAUGGCAUAAGCCAGCUUGACUGCGAGCGUGACGGCGCGAGCAGGUGCGAAAGCAGGUCAUAGUGAUCCGGUGGUUCUGAAUGGAAGGGCCAUCGCUCAACGGAUAAAAGGUACUCCGGGGAUAACAGGCUGAUACCGCCCAAGAGUUCAUAUCGACGGCGGUGUUUGGCACCUCGAUGUCGGCUCAUCACAUCCUGGGGCUGAAGUAGGUCCCAAGGGUAUGGCUGUUCGCCAUUUAAAGUGGUACGCGAGCUGGGUUUAGAACGUCGUGAGACAGUUCGGUCCCUAUCUGCCGUGGGCGCUGGAGAACUGAGGGGGGCUGCUCCUAGUACGAGAGGACCGGAGUGGACGCAUCACUGGUGUUCGGGUUGUCAUGCCAAU